rnacentral:rRNA from 1 species
AGGGCACAAGGCGGAUGCCUUGGCUCCGGGAAGCGAAGAAGGACGCGGCCAGCUGCGAUAAGCCUCGGGGAGGAGCAAACAUCCUUUGAUCCGGGGAUUUCCGAAUGGGGAAACCCGCACAGGUGUUGAGCCUGUGCACUGUCAUCUGAAUACAUAGGAUGCCAGAGCAAACCCAGGGAACUGAAACAUCUCAGUACCUGGAGGAAGAGAAAUCAACCGAGAUUCCCUCAGUAGCGGCGAGCGAACGGGGAUAAGCCCAAACCGUCGGGUGCGCCCGGCGGGGUUGUAGGACCGUCAACGAAGUGGAGUACGAAGGUUAGCUGAAGUGUCUGGGAAGGCACGGCAUAGAGGGUUAGACCCCCGUAAGCGAAAGCUGGAAGACCUGCGAGACGGCACCUGAAUAGGGCGGGACACGUGGAACCCCGUCUGAAUCUGGGGGGACCUCCCUCCAAGGCUAAAUAUUACCCGGAGACCGAUAGUGAACCAGUACCGUGAGGGAAAGGUGAAAAGCACCUCGAACAGAGGAGUGAAAUAGUUCCUGAAACCUUGUGUCUACAAGCAGUGGAAGCCUUUAGGGGCGACCGCGUGCCUUUUGCAUAAUGAGCCAACGAGUUGUCCGUCGGCGGCUAGGUUAAGCCAAUGGUGUAGCCGCAGCGAAAGCGAGUCUGAAUAGGGCAUUCAGUCGCCGGCGACAGACCCGAAACCGAGUGAUCUAUCCCUGUCCAGGUUGAAGCCUGGGUAAGACCAGGUGGAGGACCGAACCAAUGUGCCUUAAAAAGUGCUUGGAUGAGGUGGGGAUAGGAGUGAAAGGCUAAUCAAACUCGGAGAUAGCUGGUUCUCCCCGAAACCUAUUUAGGUAGGGCCUCGCGGUAGGCCGCCGGAGGUAGAGCACUGGAUGGACUAGGGCCCCCACCAGGGUACCAAACCCAACCAAACUGCGAAUGCCGGUAAGUCGGUCCGCGGGAGUCAGACGGCGGGAGCUAACUUUCGUCGUCGAAAGGGAAACAACCCAGACCGUCAGCUAAGGCCCCCAAGUCAUGGCUAAGUGGGAAAGGAAGUGGGAACGCCCAGACAACCAGGAGGUUAGCUUAGAAGCAGCUACCCUUUAAAGAAAGCGUAAUAGCUCACUGGUCAAGCGGGCCUGCACCGAAAAUAUAACGGGGCUCAAGCCAUGCGCCGAAGCUGCGGAUUGUCUCUUAGAGAGACAGUGGUAGGGGAGCGUUCCCCGUGCGGCGAAGCUGUGGUGGAAACCAUGGUGGAGCGCGGGGAAGUGAGGAUGUUGGCAUGAGUAACGAAAAUGCGGGCGAGAAACCCGCACGCCGAAAGUCCAAGGGUUCCUGGGCCAGGUUAAUCCGCCCAGGGUUAGUCGGCACCUAAGGCGAGGCCGAAAGGCGUAGUCGAAGGAAAACCGGUUCAUAUUCCGGUACUUGCGGUGACGCGUGAUGGAGGGACGCAGGAGGAUAGGUCGGCCGGGUGAUGGAUGUCCCGGUUUAAGACGGUAGCCGGAAGCUUCAGGUAAAUCCGGAGCUUCAACGGCGAGAGUCGAUGACGAGAGGCUUUGCCUCACAAAGCGAUUGAUUCCACACUGCCAAGAAAAGCUUCUAAGCAUAGUCACAGCAAACCGUACCCCAAACCGACACAGGUGGACUGGUAGAGAAUACCAAGGCGCUUGAGAGAAACCAUGUUAAGGAACUCUGCAAAUUAACUCCGUACCUUUGGAAGAAGGAGUGCCCACAAAGUGAAGGGGCUUGCCCCUGGAGCUUAGCUGGGUCGCAGUGACCAGGCCUGGCCGACUGUUUAGCAAAAACAUAGCACUCUGCAAACUCGCAAGAGGAAGUAUAGGGUGUGACGCCUGCCCGGUGCCGGAAGGUUAACAGGAGAGGUCAGCUUACGCGAAGCCUCGAAUCGAAGCCCCGGUAAACGGCGGCCGUAACUAUAACGGUCCUAAGGUAGCGAAAUUCCUUGUCGGGUAAGUUCCGACCUGCACGAAUGGCGUAAUGAUGGCCACGCUGUCUCCUCCCAAGACUCAGUGAAAUUGAAAUAGCGGUGAAGAUACCGUUAACCCGCAGCAAGACGGAAAGACCCCGUGAACCUUUACUGCAGCUUGGCAGUGGAUUCGGGAAGAGCUUGUGUAGGAUAGGUGGGAGGCUUAGAAGUCGGUGCGCCAGCGCCGGUGGAGCCGUCCUUGAAAUACCACCCUGGUUUUUUCGGAAUUCUAACCUCGUCCCGUGAUCCGGGACAGGGACCCUGCCUGGUGGGCGGUUUGACUGGGGCGGUCGCCUCCCAAAGCGUAACGGAGGCGCGCAAUGGUUCCCUCAGAGUGAUUGGAAACCACUCGUAGAGUGCAAAGGCAUAAGGGAGCCUGACUGCGAGAGAGACAUCUCAAGCAGGGACGAAAGUCGGUCUUAGUGAUCCGGUGGUUCCUUGAGGAAGGGCCAUCGCUCAACGGAUAAAAGGUACUCCGGGGAUAACAGGCUAAUCGCGCCCAAGAGUUCACAUCGACGGCGCGGUUUGGCACCUCGAUGUCGGCUCAUCGCAUCCUGGGGCUGAAGCAGGUCCCAAGGGUAUGGCUGUUCGCCAUUUAAAGCGGUACGCGAGCUGGGUUCAGAACGUCGUGAGACAGUUCGGUCCCUAUCU